rnacentral:rRNA from 1 species
GACGAACGCUGGCGGCGUGCCUAAUACAUGCAAGUAGAACGCUGAAGAGAGGAGCUUGCUCUUCUUGGAUGAGUUGCGAACGGGUGAGUAACGCGUAGGUAACCUGCCUGGUAGCGGGGGAUAACUAUUGGAAACGAUAGCUAAUACCGCAUAAAAUUGAUUAUUGCAUGAUAAUUAAUUGAAAGAUGCAAUUGCAUCACUACCAGAUGGACCUGCGUUGUAUUAGCUAGUUGGUGAGGUAACGGCUCACCAAGGCGACGAUACAUAGCCGACCUGAGAGGGUGAUCGGCCACACUGGGACUGAGACACGGCCCAGACUCCUACGGGAGGCAGCAGUAGGGAAUCUUCGGCAAUGGGGGGAACCCUGACCGAGCAACGCCGCGUGAGUGAAGAAGGUUUUCGGAUCGUAAAGCUCUGUUGUAAGAGAAGAACGGGUGUGAGAGUGGAAAGUUCACACUGUGACGGUAUCUUACCAGAAAGGGACGGCUAACUACGUGCCAGCAGCCGCGGUAAUACGUAGGUCCCGAGCGUUGUCCGGAUUUAUUGGGCGUAAAGCGAGCGCAGGCGGUUAGAUAAGUCUGAAGUUAAAGGCUGUGGCUUAACCAUAGUAUGCUUUGGAAACUGUUUAACUUGAGUGCAGAAGGGGAGAGUGGAAUUCCAUGUGUAGCGGUGAAAUGCGUAGAUAUAUGGAGGAACACCGGUGGCGAAAGCGGCUCUCUGGUCUGUAACUGACGCUGAGGCUCGAAAGCGUGGGGAGCAAACAGGAUUAGAUACCCUGGUAGUCCACGCCGUAAACGAUGAGUGCUAGGUGUUAGGCCCUUUCCGGGGCUUAGUGCCGCAGCUAACGCAUUAAGCACUCCGCCUGGGGAGUACGACCGCAAGGUUGAAACUCAAAGGAAUUGACGGGGGCCCGCACAAGCGGUGGGGCAUGUGGUUUAAUUCGAAGCAACGCGAAGAACCUUACCAGGUCUUGACAUCCCUCUGACCGCUCUAGAGAUAGAGUUUUCCUUCGGGACAGAGGUGACAGGUGGUGCAUGGUUGUCGUCAGCUCGUGUCGUGAGAUGUUGGGUUAAGUCCCGCAACGAGCGCAACCCCUAUUGUUAGUUGCCAUCAUUCAGUUGGGCACCCUAGCGAGACUGCCGGUAAUAAACCGGAGGAAGGUGGGGAUGACGUCAAAUCAUCAUGCCCCUUAUGACCUGGGCUACACACGUGCUACAAUGGCUGGUACAACGAGUCGCAAGCCGGUGACGGCAAGCUAAUCUCUGAAAGCCAGUCUCAGUUCGGAUUGUAGGCUGCAACUCGCCUACAUGAAGUCGGAAUCGCUAGUAAUCGCGGAUCAGCACGCCGCGGUGAAUACGUUCCCGGGCCU